UACGGAGGGUGCAAGCGUUAUCCGGAUUCACUGGGUUUAAAGGGUGCGUAGGUGGGCUAGUAAGUCCGUGGUGAAAUCCCCGAGCUUAACUCGGGAACUGCCGUGGAUACUAUUAGUCUUGAAUAUCGUGGAGGUAAGCGGAAUAUGUCAUGUAGCGGUGAAAUGCUUAGAUAUGACAUAGAACACCGAUAGCGAAGGCAGCUCGCUACACAAUUAUUGACUCUGAUGCACGAAAGCGUGGGGAUCAAACAGG
rnacentral:rRNA from 1 species